rnacentral:lncRNA from 1 species
GGGUCGGAGGGGGCCAUGGCCCAGAGGAACAGGAUCCUGGCCGGGGACCGUGACCGCCUCGCGCUAGGAUGUUGAGGGCGCGCCUGGGGGCCGAGGAGCCAGAGGACACGGGCCGCCCAGAGGAUGGCAGGACUGGGCUGGACCCUGAGCCGGCGGCCGGGGAGGCCGGCAGGGCCGAGGAGAUGCUGUGGCUGCAGCAGCAGGUCUCAGGGCUCCGAGAGGCGUUCAGGAGGCAGGAGGACCACUGGGCGGCCACGCACCGCGCACUCCGGGCCCAGAUGGAUGCGCUGACGAGGCAGAACCAGGAGCUGCGGGCUGGGCUGAGGGCCUCUGAGCUGCGGCGUCUGGAGACCAAGAAGGCCCUGGCGGGGUGCCUUCGGAGACAGUCGGACACUCAGCCCAUGUGUGUAGAGAUGGAAAGAAUCCACUCUGCGGAAACGGUAUCAUGUGACGGUGGAGACAAAACCCUUUCCAGGAAGCAAGGCAGAAGCGCAAAGCCUCCCGGGAGGGAAACGCCCCGUGAAGACAAUCCAACCUCAUGUGAGGACGAAAAGAAAUGGAGCUGCGGGGAGUCCCCGGUGCCAGCAGCUUGUGUCAUCGCCCUUGAGGACCCGCCAGCUGCUGACCACGCGGACACCCACCCAUCGCCCCCUGAGGGCCCUGCAGGCAGCCCCCCUACCCAGGCUCCGAGGGCUGAGUCCACGUGUUCCUCCCCGGACAUCGAGGAGCCACAGAAUCUUCCUACAGAACCAGAGUCUCCCCCCAAAACAGCCCAGCACCAGGGCGCCCAGAGACAACAGGAGGAAGGGGAGGAAGUCCAGCACCCCGACGACAAGGCGGUGCAGAGAGGAGCGUCUAGACCAGCCUAUCCUCUUUUCCCGACCGGAGACGCCGUCGCCACGGCAGACGAGCUGCCCCCCGCGGCCGGGCCCGACCCGCAGAGCUCGGGGUAGAGUGAAAUCCUUCCUUCCCGGUUCUCCCUUGGAAACAAACGCACAUUAAACAGGUUGUCGUGUCUGUAUCCUGCUGUGUUUAUUCCCGGUCCCCGCUUCUCGGUCCAGGCUCCCAGGCCCGGGGGUCAUCUCCCCUCCCCGACAAGCACCUCAGCACCUGCUCGCUCCUCCUCGUCCUUCUCCACCUGAUCAGAAACCAAAGGAGUCACAACAAUUGCAAACAUCACC